CGGGGGGGGGCAAGCGUUGUUCGGAAUUACUGGGCGUAAAGGGCUCGUAGGCGGCCAACUAAGUCGGAUGUGAAAUCCCCAGGCUCAACUUGGGAACUGCAUCCGAUACUGGAUGGCUUGAAUCCGGGAGAGGGAUGCAGAGUUCCAGGUGUAGCGGUGAAAUGCGUAGAUAUCUGGAGGAAUACCGGUGGCGAAGGCGGCAUCCUGGACCGGCAUUGACGCUGAUGAGCGAAAGCUAGGGGAGCAAACGGGAUUAGAUACCCCGGUAGUCCUAGCCCUAAACGAUGAAUGCUUGGUGUGGCGGGUAUCGAUCCCUGCCGUGCCGAAGCUAACGCAUUAAGCAUUCCGCCUGGGGAGUACGGUCGCAAGGCUG
rnacentral:rRNA from 1 species